UUAAGGUUAGUUAAUCUAAAUAAUACUAAGUCGUCAACCUAGAGUUGCUGGGUCACUAGCACCUUAAU
rnacentral:tRNA from 1 species